rnacentral:rRNA from 1 species
UACGUAGGUGGCAAGCGUUGUCCGGAUUUACUGGGCGUAAAGAGCGCGCAGGCGGUCGUGCAAGUCGCGUGCGAAAGCCCCGGCUCAACUGGGGAGGGUCACGCGAUACUGCUCGACUCGAAGGCAGGAGAGGGAAGUGGAAUUCCCGGUGUAGUGGUGAAAUGCGUAGAUAUCGGGAGGAACACCAGUGGCGAAGGCGACUUC